rnacentral:rRNA from 1 species
CACGUAGGGCGCAAGCGUUGUCCGGAAUUAUUGGGCGUAAAGAGCUCGUAGGCGGUCUGUUGCGUCCGCUGUGAAAACUCGGGGCUUAACCCCGGGCCUGCAGCCGAUACGGGCAGACUAGAGUUCGGCAGGGGAGACUGGAAUUCCUGGUGUAGCGGUGAAAUGCGCAGAUAUCAGGAGGAACACCGGUGGCGAAGGCGGGUCUCUGGGCCGAUACUGACGCUGAGGAGCGAAAGCGUGGGGAGCGAACAGG